ACACUCCAGCUUCUCUUUAGAUUGUAUAAAUCAUUCACCUUUUCCUAAAGAUUUCUGUGGAGAGGAACAGCUCUAAGUCUUAAAUCAAUUUUUCAAGACCUUGUUUCGGCAAGGCU